GGCUCAGGAUGAACGCUAGCGGCAGGCUUAACACAUGCAAGUCGAGGGGCAGCGCUGGGUGGCAACACCCUGGCGGCGACCGGCGGAAGGGUGCGUAACACGUGAGCAACUUGCCCGUAUCCGGGACAUAACCGGCGGAAACGCCGACUAAUUUCCCAUGACAGCGUGGGCCGCAUGGCCCGCGUUUGAAAGACACGUCGGAUGCGGAUGGGCUCGCGGGACAUUAGCUGGUUGGAGUGGUAACGGCACACCAAGGCUACGAUGUCUAGGGGUUCUGAGAGGAAGGUCCCCCACACUGGAACUGAGACACGGUCCAGACUCCUACGGGAGGCAGCAGUGAGGAAUAUUGGUCAAUGGGCGGAAGCCUGAACCAGCCAUGCCGCGUGAAGGAAUGAGGCCCUACGGGUCGUGAACUUCUUUUGUGGCGGAGCAAUAAGGGCCACGUGUGGUCCGACGAGAGUACGUCACGAAUAAGCACCGGCUAACUCCGUGCCAGCAGCCGCGGUAAUACGGAGGGUGCAAGCGUUAUCCGGAUUUAUUGGGUUUAAAGGGUGCGUAGGCUGUCCGACAAGUCAGGGGUGAAAGCCCGGCGCCCAACGCCGGAACCGCCUUUGAUACUGCCGGGCUGGAAUGCGGAUGCCGUGGGAGGAAUGAGUAGUGUAGCGGUGAAAUGCAUAGAUAUUACUCAGAACACCGAUUGCGAAGGCAUCUCACGAAUCCGCCAUUGACGCUGAGGCACGAAAGCGUGGGUAGCGAACAGGAUUAGAUACCCUGGUAGUCCACGCAGUAAACGAUGAUGACUAACCGUCGGCGAUACACUGCCGGUGGCCAAGCGAAAGCGAUAAGUCAUCCACCUGGGGAGUACGUUCGCAAGAAUGAAACUCAAAGGAAUUGACGGGGGCCCGCACAAGCGGAGGAACAUGUG
rnacentral:rRNA from 1 species